rnacentral:siRNA from 1 species
CUAUCCAUAAGAUAUGGAUGAUG